GAUGAAGAACGCAGCGAAAUGCGAUAAGUAAUGUGAAUUGCAGAAUUCAGUGAAUCAUCGAAUCUUUGAACGCACCUUGCGCCCUUUGGCUAUUCCGAAGGGCAUGCCUGUUUGAGUAUCAUGAACACCUCAACUCUCAUGGCUUGCCAUGACGAGCUUGGACUUUGGGGGUCUUGCUGGCCUGUGGGUUGGCUCCUCUCAAAUGAAUCAGCUUACCAGUGUUUGGUGGCAUCACGGGUGUGAUAAAACUAUCUACGCUUGUGGUUUUCCACCAAGUUUAACCCCCAGCGAUGGAGGUUGGCUGGGGCUCACAAACGUCGUCUCUCUUCGGCGGGGACAGCUCUUUGAACGUUUGAUCUCAAAUCAGGUAGGACUACCCGCUGAACUUAAGCAUAUCAAUAAGCGGAGGA
rnacentral:misc_RNA from 1 species